ensembl:snoRNA U3 Small nucleolar RNA U3
AAGACUAUACUUUCAGGGAUCAUUUCUAUAGUUUCUGACUUGAGAAAUGUGUUUCUAAAGUGGGUGGUCUCGCUAACCACGAUGAUGAAUCACGAUGUUUUCUUCUGAGCAUGAAGCUGGUAGAGAGCAAUGAUUCAUUUCGUUCUCUCUAUCAUUGAUGAUUGUUCUUUGCUGAUCAUUGAGGAAGGAAACAUGAUCAGAGUGGU